rnacentral:rRNA from 1 species
CUACGGGUGGCUCCAGUGAGGAAUAUUGCACAAUGGGGGGAACCCUGAUGCAGCAACGCCGCGUGGAGGAUGACGCAUUUCGGUGUGUAAACUCCUUUUAUAUGUCAAGAAAAUGACGGUAGCAUAUGAAUAAGCACCGGCUAACUCCGUGCCAGCAGCCGCGGUAAUACGGAGGGUGCAAGCGUUACUCGGAAUCACUGGGCGUAAAGGACGCGUAGGCGGGUUGGGAAGUCAGGUGUGAAAUCCUACAGCUUAACUGUAGAACUGCACUUGAAACUUCUAAUCUAGAGUAUAGGAGGGGGAGAUGGAAUUAGUGGUGUAGGGGUAAAAUCCGUAGAUAUCACUAGGAAUACCUAAAGCGAAGGCGAUCUCCUGGAACAUUACUGACGCUAAGGCGUGAAAGCGUGGGGAGCAAACAGGAUUAGAUACCCCGGUAGUC